AACGAACGCUGGCGGCAUGCCUAACACAUGCAAGUCGAGGGGCAUCACAUGAAGUAGCAAUACGGAUGGUGGCGACCGGCGCACGGGUGAGUAACACGUAUGCAACCUGCCUUCAACAAGGGGAUAACCCGUUGAAAGACGGACUAAUACCCUAUAACACAGGGGUCCCGCAUGGGGAUAUUUGUUAAAGGACAACCGGUUGAAGAUGGGCAUGCGUUCCAUUAGCUAGUUGGCGGGGUAAGGGCCCACCAAGGCAACGAUGGAUAGGGGAACUGAGAGGUUUAUCCCCCACACUGGUACUGAGACACGGACCAGACUCCUACGGGAGGCAGCAGUGAGGAAUAUUGGUCAAUGGACGCAAGUCUGAACCAGCCACGUCGCGUGAAGGAAGACGGCCCUACGGGUUGUAAACUUCUUUUGCAAGGGAAUAAAGUGGGCCACGUGUGGCCUUUUGCAAGUACCUUGCGAAUAAGGAUCGGCUAACUCCGUGCCAGCAGCCGC
rnacentral:rRNA from 1 species